CGUCUAUAUACGUAUAGCAUAUCAAUAAGCGGAGGAAAAGAAACUAACUAGGAUUCCCUUAGUAACGGCGAGUGAAGCGGGAAGAGCUCAAAUUUGAAAUCUUCAAGGUUUUACCUUGACGAAUUGUAGUUUAAAGAAGUGUUUUCUGUUGGAGUUUUGGUAAAAGUUCUUUGGAAUAGGACAUCAUAGAGGGUGAGAAUCCCGUAUUUGACCAUUAUUUCCAACUUUGUGAUACACUUUCAAAGAGUCGGAUUGUUUGGGAAUGCAGUCCAAAAUGGGUGGUAAAUUUCAUCUAAAGCUAAAUACUUGGCGAGAGACCGAUAGCGAACAAGUACCGUGAGGGAAAGAUGAAAAGAACUUUGAAAAGAGAGUUAAACAGUACGUGAAAUUGUCAAAAGGGAAGCGUUUGACACCAGUGUUGUUUUCUCGAAAAUCAAUUAAAAAUGGCUGGGAUGUUGUGUUGUAUUGACUUUAUCAGCUUUCUGCACUUUUUUUCCUAUCUUUUUUAAUGCACUUUUCGUUUAACAAGUCAACAUCAAUUUCUUUUGUUGUAAAAGAGUCAUUGGAAGGUGGCUUUCUUUUCGGAGAAAGUGUUUAUAGCCUUUGGCUUCUGCAAUCGGAGAGAUUGAGGUCUGCAGCGUAGAUCCUUCGGGGUUAGAUACAUUUGUGCUAAGUUAUAGCCUUUCAUAGACAACUUGUUGACUAUGAUCAGUCAUGUAGCUUACUCGCUUAUGUCAUUUUACCUACGCUUAGGAUGUUGACACACGCGCGUGCUCG
rnacentral:rRNA from 1 species